AUUGAACGCUGGCGGCAGGCCUAACACAUGCAAGUCGAGCGAGCGGCGGACGGGUGAGUAAUGUCUGGGAAACUGCCUGAUGGAGGGGGAUAACUACUGGAAACGGUAGCUAAUACCGCAUACCAUCGGAUGUGCCCAGAUGGGAUUAGCUUGUAGGUGAGGUAACGGCGCACCUAGGCGACGAUCCCUAGCUGGUCUGCGAGGAUGACCAGCCACACUGGAACUGGGACACGGGCCAGACUCCUACGGGAGGCAGCAGUGGGUAAUAUUGCACAAUGGGCGCAAGCCUGAUGCAGCAAUGCCGCGUGUAUGAAGAAGGCCUUCGGGUUGUAAAGUACUUUCAGCGGGGAGGCGUUACCCGCAGCAGAAGCACCGGCUAACUCCGUGCCAGCAGCCGCGGUAAUAC
rnacentral:rRNA from 1 species